rnacentral:rRNA from 1 species
AGAGUUUGAUUAUGGCUCAGGAUGAACGCUGGCGGCGUGCCUAACACAUGCAAGUCGAGCGAAGCAUUUGAUGUGAAGUUUUCGGAUGGAACGUUAAAUGACUGAGCGGCGGACGGGUGAGUAACGCGUGGGUAACCUGCCUUAUACAGGGGGAUAACAGUUAGAAAUGACUGCUAAUACCGCAUAAGCGCACAGUACCGCAUGGUACGGUGUGAAAAACUCCGGUGGUAUAAGAUGGACCCGCGUCUGAUUAGCCAGUUGGCGGGGUAACGGCCCACCAAAGCGACGAUCAGUAGCCGACCUGAGAGGGUGACCGGCCACAUUGGGACUGAGACACGGCCCAAACUCCUACGGGAGGCAGCAGUGGGGAAUAUUGCACAAUGGGGGAAACCCUGAUGCAGCAACGCCGCGUGAGUGAAGAAGUAUUUCGGUAUGUAAAGCUCUAUCAGCAGGGAAGAAGAUGACGGUACCUGACCAAGAAGCCCCGGCUAACUACGUGCCAGCAGCCGCGGUAAUACGUANGGGGCAAGCGUUAUCCGGAUUUACUGGGUGUAAAGGGAGCGCAG